rnacentral:rRNA from 1 species
ACGCUGGCGGCGUGCCUAAUACAUGCAAGUCGAACGAGAGCGACCGGUGCUUGCACUGGUCAAUCUAGUGGCGAACGGGUGAGUAACACGUGGGUAACCUGCCCAUCAGAGGGGGAUAACAUUCGGAAACGGAUGCUAAAACCGCAUAGGUCUUCGAACCGCAUGGUUUGAAGAGGAAAAGAGGCGCAAGCUUCUGCUGAUGGAUGGACCCGCGGUGCAUUAGCUAGUUGGUGAGGUAACGGCUCACCAAGGCCGUGAUGCAUAGCCGACCUGAGAGGGUGAUCGGCCACAUUGGGACUGAGACACGGCCCAAACUCCUACGGGAGGCAGCAGUAGGGAAUCUUCCGCAAUGGACGCAAGUCUGACGGAGCAACGCCGCGUGAGUGAAGAAGGUUUUCGGAUCGUAAAACUCUGUUGUUAGAGAAGAACAAGUGCUAGAGUAACUGUUAGCGCCUUGACGGUAUCUAACCAGAAAGCCACGGCUAACUACGUGCCAGCAGCCGCGGUAAUACGUAGGUGGCAAGCGUUGUCCGGAUUUAUUGGGCGUAAAGCGAGCGCAGGCGGUUCCUUAAGUCUGAUGUGAAAGCCCCCGGCUCAACCGGGGAGGGUCAUUGGAAACUGGGGAACUUGAGUGCAGAAGAGGAGAGUGGAAUUCCAUGUGUAGCGGUGAAAUGCGUAGAUAUAUGGAGGAACACCAGUGGCGAAGGCGACUCUCUGGUCUGUAACUGACGCUGAGGCUCGAAAGCGUGGGUAGCAAACAGGAUUAGAUACCCUGGUAGUCCACGCCGUAAACGAUGAGUGCUAAGUGUUGGAGGGUUUCCGCCCUUCAGUGCUGCAGUUAACGCAUUAAGCACUCCGCCUGGGGAGUACGACCGCAAGGUUGAAACUCAAAGGAAUUGACGGGGACCCGCACAAGCGGUGG